AUUGAACGCUGGCGGCAGGCCUAACACAUGCAAGUCGAGCGCGAAAACACUUCGGUGUAAGUAGAGCGGCGGACGGGUGAGUAAUGCUUGGGAAUCUGCCCAGUAGUGGGGGAUAACGUGUGGAAACGCACGCUAAUACCGCAUACGUCCUACGGGAGAAAGCAGGGGAUCUUCGGACCUUGCGCUAUUGGAUGAGCCCAAGUCAGAUUAGCUAGUUGGUGAGGUAAUGGCUCACCAAGGCGACGAUCUGUAGCUGGUCUGAGAGGAUGAUCAGCCACACUGGGACUGAGACACGGCCCAGACUCCUACGGGAGGCAGCAGUGGGGAAUAUUGCACAAUGGGCGAAAGCCUGAUGCAGCCAUGCCGCGUGUGUGAAGAAGGCUCUAGGGUUGUAAAGCACUUUCAGUGGGGAGGAAAAGUUUAAGAAUAAUACUCUUGAACCUUGACGUUACCUGCAGAAGAAGCACCGGCAAACUCCGUGCCAGCAGCCGCGGUAAUACGGAGGGUGCGAGCGUUAAUCGGAAUUACUGGGCGUAAAGCGCGCGUAGGUGGUUUGAUAAGCUAGCUGUGAAAGCCCCGGGCUCAACCUGGGAACUGCAGUUAGAACUGUCUGGCUAGAGUAUAGUAGAGGGUGGCGGAAUUUCCUGUGUAGCGGUGAAAUGCGUAGAUAUAGGAAGGAACAUCAGUGGCGAAGGCAGACACCUGGAAGAAUAACCGUCU
rnacentral:rRNA from 1 species